AAUGCUUAGGAAUCUGCCUAUUAGUGGGGGACAACAUUCCGAAAGGAAUGCUAAUACCGCAUACGCCCUACGGGGGAAAGCAGGGGAUCUUCGGACCUUGCGCUAAUAGAUGAGCCUAAGUCAGAUUAGCUAGUUGGUGGGGUAAAGGCCUACCAAGGCGACGAUCUGUAGCGGGUCUGAGAGGAUGAUCCGCCACACUGGGACUGAGACACGGCCCAGACUCCUACGGGAGGCAGCAGUGGGGAAUAUUGGACAAUGGGCGAAAGCCUGAUCCAGCCAUGCCGCGUGUGUGAAGAAGGCCUUUUGGUUGUAAAGCACUUUAAGCGAGGAGGAGGCUACUGAGAUUAAUACUCUUGGAUAGUGGACGUUACUCGCAGAAUAAGCACCGGCUAACUCUGUGCCAGCAGCCGCGGUAAUACAGAGGGUGCGAGCGUUAAUCGGAUUUACUGGGCGUAAAGCGUGCGUAGGCGGCUUUUUAAGUCGGAUGUGAAAUCCCUGAGCUUAACUUAGGAAUUGCAUUCGAUACUGGGAAGCUAGAGUAUGGGAGAGGAUGGUAGAAUUCCAGGUGUAGCGGUGAAAUGCGUAGAGAUCUGGAGG
rnacentral:rRNA from 1 species